AGAUCCUGCCUUGCGCCCACCUUGCCUGUGAAACUUUACAUUUGGUGCCAUGAAACCCGGGAGGAGAUUGAGCCCCCACCCCGGUAAGGAGGCUCUCUCCUCUCCUAGCCCGACCUGGAUCUGCCUUUCCAAAUGCCACUUCCGAAGCUGUGGCUGGAUCGAAGCAUCCCCCACCGCUAGGGAAACAGACGUGAUCGCUGCGGUUCUCACUGAACACAUCAUCCCGAGGUUUGGACUCCCUUGAACCCUACAAUCGGACAACGGACUGGCCUUCAUCUCCAGCAUCACACAACAAAUCUCUGAGAGUCUCAACAUCACCUUGAAACUCCAUAUCCCCUAUCACCCCCAAUCCUAGUUGCUGUGAGACGGAGAGACUGGACUUGGGUCCCCUCAGCCCCGACCACAGAAUCCAGCGUUCUUUGGCUGCCUCCAUAAGGAAGAGAAAAGGCUGAAACUCAGGGCUCUGGAGUAGCAUCUUGGGGGACUGCAAAGGGAAAAUGGUUACUGAGAGGAGCAUGUGGGCUAUGAAGACUGGCAAGGAUGGGACCAGACCAGUCUUCUCCCAGAUGGACGCUACUGCUGACCUUUCAUGGACUUUCCCCCUCAUUAUAACAGUAAAAGUCAUGCUCGGGGUGGAGAUUGAACAUGCUACUUAGACAUGACCAUGCAUGAAGAGGCAUGACCCUUCAGCGCACGGGUGCUGACGAAUCCCUACAUCCACGUGCUUCCUCGUCACCUUCCCCACCUCUUCUCUCCUCCUUCCUCCCUUCAUUCCUUCUUUCCUUCCUUUUCUGCCCACAGUAUUUGUUAGUUGUUCAUUUAUCAAGAGAAACUAUUCCAUAACCCAGUACUCACGUUUCAUAGUUCAGGAGGAACACAAGCCAGGGACCAACUUCAAUGGAACUCAACCCAAAGAAGUUCUUCACAUUCCAAAAUCACUUUGCACUCUGAAACAUACCAGCCUCUUGGUCUCUCAAAAUCUUUCAUGGACUCGUCGUUUCUAUAGAAAUCUGCGUAUGCCCUUUCCUGGUUUGUGGCCGCCCCACACUUAAAGAAGGUUGGAACCCUCAGGGAUACAACGAAUGCCCCAAAAAUGUGAAGUCACAGACCUGGGGGCUGUUGGCCUCUCCUCUGAGGUUUCAUUGAAACUCCGGAAGCUGUGGUCGUUAUUUUCUUCAAAGCUGAAGAGAUGCUCAAACCCAAAGUCCUUCCUUUUUUUUUUCUUU